rnacentral:rRNA from 1 species
UACGAAGGGGGCUAGCGUUGCUCGGAAUCACUGGGCGUAAAGCGCACGUAGGCGGAUCUUUAAGUCAGGGGUGAAAUCCUGGAGCUCAACUCCAGAACUGCCUUUGAUACUGGCGAUCUUGAGUCCGGGAGAGGUGAGUGGAACUCCGAGUGUAGAGGUGAAAUUCGUAGAUAUUCGGAAGAACACCAGUGGCGAAGGCGGCUCACUGGCCCGUAACUGACGCUGAGGUGCGAAAGCGUGGGGAGCAACAGG